rnacentral:tRNA from 1 species
GCCGACCUAGCUCAAUGGCAGAGCAUUCGCAUCGUAAGCGAAGGGUUCCGGGUUCGAGUCCCGGGGUCGGCU